rnacentral:misc_RNA from 1 species
UUAAGUUCAGCGGGUAUCCCUACCCGAUCCGAGGUCAACCUGUAGUGAGGUUUAACGGCGCGUCCGGUCGUCGUCGCCAGCGAAUUGAUUGACCACAACGCUGAGAUUCGAACCGUCCAGCCGACGAAUUGGGGGCGCGGGGGAGGGUCCCCGACGCCCAAUACCAAGCCAGGCUUGAUUGGUGUAAUGACGCUCGAACG